rnacentral:lncRNA from 1 species
CUUUCCCUUCCCCUUUUCUCCUUCCCCUUUCCUUUCUUCUCAUUCCCUUUCCUUUCCCGUCUUUCUCUUUCUCUUCCUCUCCCUUCCCCCUCUCCCUCCUCUAAACGUGCAAAUUUUCUUAAAACAGGCAGGGUUGUUUUGCGUGCUUUGAGACUCUAGUGUUCUCCACAAUUAGCAUUUCUUUCUCUCAACAUGCGGAUGGAAGUCACGACUGCUGACGGCCAGUCACACAGUGGAACUCCAACUCACGGGGUGGGGCAGAAGCGGCCGCCGCUAGGAGUCCCUGGAAGGCCGGCAGGCACCCUGCCUGCCCUGGCUGAGGCAGCGUGGUGGCCCAGACCAGGUGAGAACAGGAGAAGCAGCCUCAGCUCAGUGUCUGUGGCCCCGGGCAGGCAGGCAUAGGAGCCUGGGCUGCUGGCCACGCCCUGUCCCCCCGGGAAAGCAGCUGGACACCCUGGGACCCCCUGUGCCACGGAGAAGUUGGCCCCGAGCUCGUAGAAUCACGCUGUUCCUUACCUCAAAAAGCUGUUUUUCAAAGGCCUUUCCUGUUUCUUUUUUCUUUAAUUACACAGCAUUUUUAUAACCUGCUUCGAACAGAAUAAACACAACGAGCAAGAUGGUUAUUAAAAAGCUGUAAAAUACUGUCCUCACACUUGCCCGCUUUUAUGUUUCCUGAGCCGGCGGUUCAGAUGGGCCGCCCUGGGAGAGCUCUGGGCAGC